UACGGGGGGGGGCAAGCGUUGUUCGGAAUUACUGGGCGUAAAGGGCUCGUAGGCGGCCAACUAAGUCAGACGUGAAAUCCCUCGGCUUAACCGGGGAACUGCGUCUGAUACUGGAUGGCUUGAGUUUGGGAGAGGGAUGCGGAAUUCCUGGUGUAGCGGUGAAAUGCGCAGAUAUCAGGAGGAACACCGGUGGCGAAGGCGGGUCUCUGGGCCGAUACUGACGCUGAGGAGCGAAAGCGUGGGGAGCAAACAGG
rnacentral:rRNA from 1 species